AUUAAAGUGACAGAAUUAAUGUGAGGAAUUUAAGCUUCCUUUAUGACUACUUCCUUUAAUA
rnacentral:tRNA from 1 species